UACCAGCUCUCCGAGUGGUAGGGAUGAUUAUUGGGCUUAAAGCGUCCGUAGCCAGCUUAGCAAGUCUCCUGUUAAAUUCAGCGACCUAAUCGUUGAGCCGCGGGAGAUACUACUAGGCUAGGAGGCGGGAGAGGUCGACGGUACUUCUGGGGUAGGGUGAAAUCCUAUAAUCCCGGGAGGACCACCAGUGGCGAAGGCUGUCGACUAGAACGCGCUCGACGGUGAGGGACGAAAGCUGGGGGAGCGAACCGGAUUAGAUACCCGGGUAGUCCCAGCUGUAAACGAUGCGGGCUAGGUGUUGGGGUGGCUACGUGCCACUUCAGUGCCGCAGGGAAGCCAUUAAGCCCGCCGCCUGGGGAGUACGGCCGCAAGGCUGAAACUUAAAGGAAUUGGCGGGGAGCACCACAAGACGUGAAGCUUGCGGUUC
rnacentral:rRNA from 1 species